UACGGGGGGGAACGAGUGAUAUCCUAUCUCUACUGGGCGUUAAAGGGUUCUAAGGCAGUCGUUAAUGCACAUAGGCUGAAAGAAAAGUACAGUUUAAGAAAGCUAACGACUUUGAGGAUGAAAGAAGAUUACGGUACUCUCUAAUUUUAGGGGUGACAUCACAGACAUAUUAGAAGGGGACCAUCAAUAGGUGAUUACGGUUUUCUUGUUUCAUUUAAAAAUAAACCUGACGCUGAUCAACGAAAGUGUGGGGAGCAAACAG
rnacentral:rRNA from 1 species